UCUUAUUGUGUAUUAUUCCUCAUGCAAGGGGAUGCUAUAGGCUGAAAUUGUGUCCUUCUGAAGUUCUUUUGUUGAAGUUCUAGUUCUAGUACCUCAGAAGAUGACCUUGUUUCAAGAAAGAGUAUUUGCAGAAGUAAUGAAGUGAAAGUGGCUUCAUCAGGGUGGGCUCUAAUCUGAUAGGACUUGUGUCUUCAUGAAGAGGGGGCCUUUGGGCAUGGAGACACACAUAGACAGGGAAUGGUAUGAAGAACACAAGGAGGAGCUGGUCAUGCACAAGCCCAGGGCAAAGGCCCAGAGCCAAGACUUCUCUCAGGGGCCUGGAAAGGACCAGUCCUACCAGCAUCUUGACCUUGGGCUUUCAGCCUCCAGAACUGAGACAGUAAUUUCUGCUGUUGAAGCUCCUGUUUUGUGGUACUUUGUUAUGGUUGCCGUGGUGAACUUGUACAAGGGAUGCCGCCAAUAAGCAGAUAGGAAUGAAUUUUUUUGUUUUUUUAGAAAAAGGGUUGUGAUAAGUGCUCUGGAGAAGAAGAUAGGCUGAAGAAAAAAAGUUGGGAAAGGGCUGCUUGGAGAUCACAUGAGGCAACUUUCACAGACCAGAAGGAAAUGAGACAGCAGCUGAAGCAGGCUUUAUCCUGGGCCCUGACAGCUCUCAGCUCAUAAUCUAGUGGGAAGAAGAGACAUAUAGCAACCAAACAGAUAAAUGUGUAUUAAAACUGCCAACAAGGAAACCAGAGAUCUUGGACACAGUGACAGAAAAACAAAUCCCACCAACACCAGAGGCAGCCAGGACCAGCUGACACCUUCAGGGCCACCUUUUGGGACCCUGAUAAGAAGACCCAGAUGACGGACCUCUGACCCACACAGAUCGUUAGGAAGCAAGCUGGCCUUGCAGGUUCAGCUUGUCGCAGGUGGUUAUGCACCGUGGAAAAGGACUGCAUAGAGGAUGGUCAAAGAGGGCCUCUCUGAGAGGCUGACCCCAACCUGAGAUGGAAGGUGAGGAGGAAUCAGGCCUGGGAAGAAGGAUGAGGAAAAAAGUUCCAGAUGAAGGACUCCAGUAGGAACCAAGCCGGUGAGUUCCCUGGGAGGGAGUGCACUGUGGAAGUGUUGCGGAGCCAUUUAACACCAAGAUCUAAGACAGGGCUGCCCCUCUCCAGCCCAGAGCCAGACCUCUGAACGUGGGAUAAACCACCAUGAGAAAGGGAUGCCCAGUAGAGUGACUUAAGGAGGAUCAAAGAUGUUCUUCCAUCGACUGGGCAGAAGAGAGCUUGGGAGAUGGUAGGAGCAGAUGUUGGCAGGACAGAUGUGCCAUGUUCAGCACGUGGCGUCCUUCUCCUCUCUCCGCUGUCUCCCGGCCUGGGGCCAGGGCAAAGAGGGGCUGGAGCACAGAGAGCAUCCAUACUUAAAAACAAACCCAGACAGGGCUGUGGCGGUUAAAGGACUGAGUCUCCUCUCAUCCCACUAGGCAGAGUCUGGGCGCAAGGUCCCAAGCUGGAUCCCCGA